rnacentral:rRNA from 1 species
GAUGAACGCUGGCGGCGUGCCUAACACAUGCAAGUCGAGCGAACAGACGAGGAGCUUGCUCCUCUGACGUUAGCGGCGGACGGGUGAGUAACACGUGGAUAACCUACCUAUAAGACUGGGAUAACUUCGGGAAACCGGAGCUAAUACCGGAUAAUAUAUUGAACCGCAUGGUUCAAUAGUGAAAUACGGUUUUGCUGUCACUUAUAGAUGGAUCCGCGCCGCAUUAGCUAGUUGGUAAGGUAACGGCUUACCAAGGCAACGAUGCGUAGCCGACCUGAGAGAGUGGUCGGCCACACUGGAACUGAGACACGGUCCCGACUCCUACGGGAGGCAGCAGUAGGGAAUCUUCCGCAAUGGGCGAGAGCCUGACGGAGCAACGCCGCGUGAGUGAUGAAGGUCUUCGGAUCGUAAAACUCUGUUGUUAGGGAAGAACAAAUGUGUAAGUAACUAUGCACGUCUUGACGGUACCUAGUCAGAAAGCCACGGCUAACUACGUG